ACGUUACCUUCCAAAAUUGCCAAGGAAGCGGCGUUCAGCCUAACUCAACUAACUGUUCCAUCCUAUCCGGAGGAGCGCGGAUUUCGUGACGAAAAAUUCACCGGAACAGCAUCCACAACGCGAGAUAAAAACAAAGACUUUCAAAGUUUGUUUCGAAAUUUGACAUUUCAUUCGUUUCGAACCGUUUUCUAAACAAACGCUAAAAGCUAAUUUACACAAAAUGUGAGUUUGCGAACAGUUACUCACAUUAUGAGCAAAAAUUUUACUCACCGAAGCGUUCUUGUGCACGAAACGGUUUGAUGCGUGAAUUUAACACAGCCGGUAUGUAACAUUUUCUUAGCGUGUGUGUGAAAAGAACUCAAUUUAGAGUAACAUUUUCUUAGCGUGUAGAGUUAGAUUUUCUUAGCGUGUGUGUGAAAAAAACUCAAUUUAGAGUUAGAUUUUCUUAGUGUGUGCAAGUCAACAUCAAGUCCCUCACUGUGUACUAGUACCAUCUGGUGGCUAUUUUUGUGUUUGCGUUGAUUGACAUUUCGAAUAUACAGUGGUAAAAAUCUAGUACCUCCCCGUCUUCUGUGACCGAAAACUUGCGCUGCAGUUUGGAAUUUUGUUCGUACAAGAGUGUUACUGGGUGUCAAACAAACAAUAUCGAAGGACAUUGUUGUGCAGAUUAUCGACGCGAAAACAAAACACGAAAACGUAGUGAAAUUUCGACCGGAACCGUAGCUAUCGAGUAGAAUUUGAUUGCCAAGUGGACUAUUGAUACUGUGCCAAAAGGUUAUCAACUCAGGGCUUGCCAUUGAGCGAACCGUGAGCUGGAUUUAUGCGCCGACAUCGGAGUUGCUGGAUUAUGCACCGCUAUAUUGGAUGAUGAAAAAUUAUGUGCGUUGCAAAGUUGUGCCAGAAAUGUGUCACUAAACCGUGUUCAUAAUGUAAAUAAUUAUUUGUUGAAUCAUUCGUUAUUAGAGCAUUAAAUGUGAAAAAGUUUACUAAGAAUAUUGUGUGAUAGUGAAAAGAAAAAAAAGUGUUGAAAACAGUUUUGUACACGUCGACUGAGCUCUAUAUACAUAUUAUAAGGAAACAGGCGAAAAAGAUACGAAGCAAAAACAGUGAAUUUACUGAGCUAGUUUUGCUUGUAAAAUGAAAAAAUUCACUUUCAAAGGAGUUUUAGAUGGUUUUCGAAGUUCUACAGUGAA